GGGUUGUGAGGUUAAGCGACUAAGCGUACACGGUGGAUGCCCUGGCAGUCAGAGGCGAUGAAGGACGUGCUAAUCUGCGAAAAGCGUCGGUAAGGUGAUAUGAACCGUUACAGCCGGCGAUGUCCGAAUGGGGAAACCCAGUGCAAUUCGUUGCACUAUCGUUAACUGAAUACAUAGGUUAACGAGGCGAACCGGGGGAACUGAAACAUCUAAGUACCCCGAGGAAAAGAAAUCAACCGAGAUUCCCCCAGUAGCGGCGAGCGAACGGGGAGCAGCCCGGAGUCUGAAUCAGCUUGUGUGUUAGUGGAAGCGUCUGGAAAGUCGCAGGGUACAGGGUGAUACUCCCGUACACUAAAACGCACAGGUUGUGAACUCGAAGAGUAGGGCGGGACACGUGGUAUCCUGUCUGAAUAUGGGGGGACCAUCCUCCAAGGCUAAAUACUCCUGACUGACCGAUAGUGAACCAGUACCGUGAGGGAAAGGCGAAAAGAACCCCGGCGAGGGGAGUGAAAAAGAACCUGAAACCGUGUACGUACAAGCAGUAGGAGCCCACUAGUUGGGUGACUGCGUACCUUUUGUAUAAUGGGUCAGCGACUUAUAUUCUGUAGCAAGGUUAACCGUAUAGGGGAGCCGCAGGGAAACCGAGUCUUAACUGGGCGUUAAGUUGCAGGGUAUAGACCCGAAACCCGGUGAUCUAGCCAUGGGCAGGUUGAAGGUUGGGUAACACUAACUGGAGGACCGAACCGACUAAUGUUGAAAAAUUAGCGGAUGACUUGUGGCUGGGGGUGAAAGGCCAAUCAAACCGGGAGAUAGCUGGUUCUCCCCGAAAGCUAUUUAGGUAGCGCCUCGUGAAUUCAUCUUCGGGGGUAGAGCACUGUUUCGGCUAGGGGGUCAUCCCGACUUACCAACCCGAUGCAAACUACGAAUACCGAAGAAUGUUAUCACGGGAGACACACGGCGGGUGCUAACGUCCGUCGUGAAGAGGGAAACAACCCAGACCGCCAGCUAAGGUCCCAAAGUCAUGGUUAAGUGGGAAACGAUGUGGGAAGGCCCAGACAGCCAGGAUGUUGGCUUAGAAGCAGCCAUCAUUUAAAGAAAGCGUAAUAGCUCACUGGUCGAGUCGGCCUGCGCGGAAGAUGUAACGGGGCUAAACCAUGCACCGAAGCUGCGGCAGCGACACUAUGUGUUGUUGGGUAGGGGAGCGUUCUGUAAGCCGUUGAAGGUGGCCUGUGAGGGUUGCUGGAGGUAUCAGAAGUGCGAAUGCUGACAUAAGUAACGAUAAUGCGGGUGAAAAACCCGCACGCCGGAAGACCAAGGGUUCCUGUCCAACGUUAAUCGGGGCAGGGUGAGUCGACCCCUAAGGCGAGGCCGAAAGGCGUAGUCGAUGGGAAACAGGUUAAUAUUCCUGUACUUGGUGUUACUGCGAAGGGGGGACGGAGAAGGCUAUGUUGGCCGGGCGACGGUUGUCCCGGUUUAAGCAUGUAGGCGGAUGUUCCAGGUAAAUCCGGAGCGUCACUAACGCUGAGGUGUGAUGACGAGGCACUACGGUGCUGAAGUGACAAAUGCCCUGCUUCCAGGAAAAGCCUCUAAGCAUCAGGUAACAUCAAAUCGUACCCCAAACCGACACAGGUGGUCAGGUAGAGAAUACCAAGGCGCUUGAGAGAACUCGGGUGAAGGAACUAGGCAAAAUGGUGCCGUAACUUCGGGAGAAGGCACGCUGAUGGUAGGUGAAGUGACUUGCUCAUGGAGCUGAAAUCAGUCGAAGAUACCAGCUGGCUGCAACUGUUUAUUAAAAACACAGCACUGUGCAAACACGAAAGUGGACGUAUACGGUGUGACGCCUGCCCGGUGCCGGAAGGUUAAUUGAUGGGGUUAUCCUCGCGGAGAAGCUCUUGAUCGAAGCCCCGGUAAACGGCGGCCGUAACUAUAACGGUCCUAAGGUAGCGAAAUUCCUUGUCGGGUAAGUUCCGACCUGCACGAAUGGCGUAAUGAUGGCCAGGCUGUCUCCACCCGAGACUCAGUGAAAUUGAACUCGCUGUGAAGAUGCAGUGUACCCGCGGCAAGACGGAAAGACCCCGUGAACCUUUACUAUAGCUUGACACUGAACACUGGUCCUUGAUGUGUAGGAUAGGUGGGAGGCUUUGAAGUGUGGACGCCAGUCUGCAUGGAGCCAUCCUUGAAAUACCACCCUUUAAUGGCUGGUGUUCUAACGUGGGCCCGUGAUCCGGGUUGCGGACAGUGUCUGGUGGGUAGUUUGACUGGGGCGGUCUCCUCCUAAAGAGUAACGGAGGAGCACGAAGGUCAGCUAAUCCUGGUCGGACAUCAGGAGGUUAGUGCAAUGGCAUAAGCUGGCUUGACUGCGAGCGUGACGGCGCGAGCAGGUGCGAAAGCAGGUCAUAGUGAUCCGGUGGUUCUGAAUGGAAGGGCCAUCGCUCAACGGAUAAAAGGUACUCCGGGGAUAACAGGCUGAUACCGCCCAAGAGUUCAUAUCGACGGCGGUGUUUGGCACCUCGAUGUCGGCUCAUCACAUCCUGGGGCUGAAGUAGGUCCCAAGGGUAUGGCUGUUCGCCAUUUAAAGUGGUACGCGAGCUGGGUUUAGAACGUCGUGAGACAGUUCGGUCCCUAUCUGCCGUGGGCGCUGGAGAAUUGAGGGGGGCUGCUCCUAGUACGAGAGGACCGGAGUGGACGCAUCACUGGUGUUCGGGUUGUCAUGCCAAUGGCAUUGCCCGGUAGCUAAAUGCGGAAGAGAUAAGUGCUGAAAGCAUCUAAGCACGAAACUUGCCCCGAGAUGAGUUCUCCCUGACUCCUUGAGAGUCCUGAAGGAACGUUGAAGACGACGACGUUGAUAGGCCGGGUGUGUAAGCGCAGCGAUGCGUUGAGCUAACCGGUACUAAUGAACCGUGAGGCUUAACCUUACAACGCCGAAG
rnacentral:rRNA from 1 species